rnacentral:rRNA from 1 species
UACGAAGGGGGCUAGCGUUGUUCGGAAUUACUGGGCGUAAAGCGUGCGCAGGCGGUUUUGUAAGCCAGAUGUGAAAGCCCCGGGCUUAACCUGGGAAUGGCAUUUGGGACUGCAAGGCUGGAGUUUGGCAGAGGAGACUGGAAUUCCUGGUGUAGCAGUGAAAUGCGUAGAUAUCAGGAGGAAUACCGAUGGCGAAGGCAGGUCUCUGGGCUAUAACUGACGCUCAUGCACGAAAGCGUGGGGAGCAAACAGG